rnacentral:pre_miRNA from 1 species
AGCCUUCUGAGUUCGUGCCGUGAUUUGAUCUGGUACCACACCAUCAGGAAUGAUGAGACUCCAAAGAUAAAUGAAGCA